AUUGAACGCUGGCGGCAGGCCUAACACAUGCAAGUCGAGCGGAUGAAGGGAGCUUGCUCCUGGAUUCAGCGGCGGACGGGUGAGUAAUGCCUAGGAAUCUGCCUGGUAGUGGGGGAUAACGUCCGGAAACGGGCGCUAAUACCGCAUACGUCCUGCGGGGGAAAGUGGGGGAUCUUCGGACCUCACGCUAUCAGAUGAGCCUAGGUCGGAUUAGCUAGUUGGUGGGGUAAAGGCCUACCAAGGCGACGAUCCGUAACUGGUCUGAGAGGAUGAUCAGUCACCCUGGAACUUAGACACGGUCCAGACUCCUACGGGAGGCAGCAGUGGGGAAUGUUGGACAAUGGGCGAAAGCCUGAUCCAGCCAUGCCGAGUGUGUGAAGAAGGUCUUCGGAUUGUAAAGCACGUUAAGUUGGGAGGAAGGGCAGUAAGUUAAUACCUUGCUGUUUUGACGUUACCAACAGAAUAAGCACCGGCUAACUUCGUG
rnacentral:rRNA from 1 species